GCCCGCCACCACCUCAGGCCGUUGGCGCCGCGGCCCCACCCCUCGCGCCGCUGCGCCCCGCCCCGCCAUCCUCCGGCCGUCGAACCCCGCCGGUCGCGGCCCGAGGCGUCCGCCCGCCCGCGGGGAGCCCCGACCGGACGGCAGCGUCGCCAAGGCCGCGGAGCCGGGCCGCCAUACCUGCACUUUUCUCCGCCCGGCUGUGUUCUGCCGGUGAUGGGCCGCCAUCUUGCAUGUUGACACUCCGACGUCACUUCCGGGAGAGUCGCGGCACCGGCGGAUGUCCCGUCCUAUUCUUUGGUUGGGUAGAAGGUGAAAAGAAGUCGAAGAAGUCGAGGCGUUUAGCAGCUGUUCCUCUCUAAUACGCUGAGGAAGAAAACAGCCUCUUCUACCUCUUUACGUGGGCGCAUCAGUAGCGCAGAGCAUUUUCAGGUCUAAAAGUGCUCAGUCCAGCUCUUCCACUGGAGGGCAGUAGAGACCCAUUUACACUGCCCCUAUUUGGGAAGUCGCUGGCUGGCUGUGACCCCCCUUAGAACGUUCGAUAAUCACUUCCCCACUGAUGCAAAGUCACAAUCCAGACACCUUUACAAGAAACAUGUUUCCCCGUGAAAAUGAUAGAAUCACGGUGCCAGGCUGUGUGAGAGUAAAGCACACCCUGUGUGUCUGUGAGGUCAGUGUGUCCCAUAGCCGUGGAUCCAAACUACCCCAGAUUAACAGCGUUUGAAAAAAGACGACUACUCAUCUGCCAAACUACUUGUUAAUCCAGUUUCUGGUUUGUUUCGUUUCUGGGUAGCCCUGGCUCUCCAGGAACUCACCCAGGCUGGCUUCAAACUCUCAUGUGCCUCCCAUGUGCUGGGAUUAAAGGCGUUGUACCACCACCAGCUGGCGAACAGUUUUUACCAAGCGGUUACAUUUUGUUAGGAUGCUCGAGGAGUCACCUAGUGAUGGUUUAGAAUGUAUAGAUGCUGUGCAUCCGUUCCAUGGAAAUUCCACACGCUUUUAUACAAGACCCUUGAAUACCCCAGAAUUUUGAUACCCAAGACUCUUGAAACUAGUCACAAUGGACACGAGGGAUAACUUGAUAAUUUAUCAGGUAACCAAUAUAACAGAAAACAAUAUAACUGUGCCACAAAUGUU